rnacentral:rRNA from 1 species
CGAACGCUGGCGGCGUGCGUAACACAUGCAAGUCGACCGGAAAGGCCCCUUUGGGGGUACUCGAGUGGCGAACGGGUGAGUAACACGUGAGUAACCUGCCCUUGACUUCGGGAUAACUUCAGGAAACUGGGGCUAAUACCGGAUAGGAAUCCUUGCUGCAUGGUGGGGGUUGGAAAGCUUCGGCGGUUUUGGAUGGACUCGCGGCUUAUCAGCUUGUUGGUGGGGUAGUGGCUUACCAAGGCUUUGACGGGUAGCCGGCCUGGGGGGGCGACCGGCCACAUUGGGACUGGGAUACGGCCCAGACUCCUACGGGAGGCAGCAGUGGGGAAUAUUGCCCAAUGGGCGGAAGCCUGAUGCAGCAACGCCGCGUGCGGGAUGACGGCCUUCGGGUUGUAAACCGCUUUCAGCAGGGGCGAAGCUUGUGGUGACGGUACCUGCAGAAGAAGCACCGGCUAACUACGUG